rnacentral:rRNA from 1 species
AAAACAGAAACGAACGCUGGCGGCAGGCUUAACACAUGCAAGUCGAACGGAAAGGCCCUUCGGGGUACUCGAGUGGCGAACGGGUGAGUAACACGUGGGUGAUCUGCCCUGCACUUUGGGAUAAGCCUGGGAAACUGGGUCUAAUACCGGAUAGGACCACGCGCUUCAUGGUGUGUGGUGGAAAGCUUUUGCGGUGUGGGAUGGGCCCGCGGCCUAUCAGCUUGUUGGUGGGGUAAUGGCCUACCAAGGCGACGACGGGUAGCCGGCCUGAGAGGGUGACCGGCCACACUGGGACUGAGAUACGGCCCAG